UACAGAGGGGGCAAGCGUUAUUCGGAAUUAUUGGGCGUAAAGGGCGCGUAGGCGGCCAUUCAAGUGACGGGUGAAAGCCCUCGGCUUAACCGAGGAACUGCCUGUCAGACUGGAUGGCUUGAGACCGGGAGAGGUGAGUGGAAUUCCCAGUGUAGCGGUGAAAUGCGUAGAUAUGCGGAGGAACACCGAUGGCGAAGGCAAUUCCCUGGACCUGUACUGACGCUCAUGCACGAAAGCGUGGGGAGCAAACAGG
rnacentral:rRNA from 1 species